rnacentral:rRNA from 1 species
GACGGAGGGUGCUAGCGUUGUUCGGAAUCACUGGGCGUAAAGGGCGCGUAGGCGGCCGCCCGCGUCGGACGUGAAAGCCCGGGGCUCAACCCCGGAACGGCGUCCGAUACGGGGCGGCUCGAGGCCGGGAGAGGGGGGUGGAAUACCCAGUGUAGAGGUGAAAUUCGUAGAUAUUGGGUGGAACACCGGUGGCGAAAGCGGCCCCCUGGCCCGGUCCUGACGCUGAUGCGCGAAAGCGUGGGGAGCAAACAGG